rnacentral:rRNA from 1 species
GAUUAACGCUGGCGGCGUGCCUAACACAUGCAAGUCGAGCGGCAGCGAGUUUUACACUGAAUUCUGGAAGCUUCUGGUUGAAAGAGAAGGUACUAUUCAAGAAUUUUGUGUAAAAUGUCGGCGAGCGGCGGACGGCUGAGUAACGCGUGGAACGUACCCCAAAGUGAGGGAUAACGCAUCGAAAGGUGUGCUAAUACCGCAUAUGGUCUUCGGAUUAAAGCCUUCGGGCGCUUUGGGAACGGCCUGCGUAAGAUUAGAUAGUUGGUGGGGUAAUGGCCUACCAAGUCGACGAUCUUUAACUGGUUUGAGAGGAUGAUCAGUCAGACUGGAACUGAGACACGGUCCAGACUCCUACGGGAGGCAGCAGUGAGGAAUCUUCCACAAUGGGCGAAAGCCUGAUGGAGCAACGCCGCGUGCAGGAUGAAGGCCUUCGGGUUGUAAACUGCUUUUAUAAGUGAGGAUUAUGACAGUAACUUAUGAAUAAGGAUCGGCUAACUACGUGCCAGCAGCCGCGGUCAUACGUAGGAUCCGAGCGUUAUCCGGAGUGACUGGGCGUAAAGAGUUGCGUAGGUGGUUCGAUAAGCGAAUAGUGAAAUCUGGUGGCUCAACCAUUCAGACUAUUAUUCGAACUGUUGAACUCGAGAGCAGAAGAGGUAGCUGGAAUUUCUAGUGUAGGAGUGAAAUCCGUAGAUAUUAGAAGGAACACCGAUGGCGUAGGCAGGCUACUGGGCUGUUUCUGACACUGAGGCACGAAAGCGUGGGGAGCGAACCGGAUUAGAUACCCGGGUAGUCCACGCCGUAAACGAUGGAUACUAGCUGUUUGGGGUAUCGACCCCCUGAGUAGCGAAGCUAAUGCGUUAAGUAUCCCGCCUGUGGAGUACGAUCGCAAGAUUAAAACAUAAAGGAAUUGACGGGGACCCGCACAAGCGGUGGAUCAUGUUCUUUAAUUCGAUGAUAACCGAUAAACCUUACCAGGUCUUGACAUCCUUGGAAUCUUUCAGAAAUGAGAGAGUGCUUUUUAAGAGCCAAGUGACAGGUGAUGCAUGGCCGUCGUCAGCUCGUGUCGUGAGAUAUUUGGUUAAGUCCAUCAACGAGCGCAACCCUUGUCAGUAGUUGUAUUUUUCUACUGAGACUGCCCCGGUAACGGGGAGGAAGGAGGGGAUGACGUCAGGUCAGUAUUUCCCUUACGUCCUGGGCUAGAAACGUGAUACAAUGGCUAGUACAAUGCGCAGCGAAGCCGCGAGGUGAAGCAAAUCGCAUCAAAGCUAGUCCCAGUUCGGAUUGUAGGCUGAAACUCGCCUGCAUGAAGUCGGAAUCGCUAGUAAUCGCAGAUCAGCAUGCUGCGGUGAAUACGUUCCCGGGUCU